GGUUAAGCGACUAAGCGUACACGGUGGAUGCCCUGGCAGUCAGAGGCGAUGAAGGGCGCGCUAAUCUGCGAUAAGCGCCGGUAAGGUGAUAUGAACCGUUAUAACCGGCGAUACCCGAAUGGGGAAACCCAGUGUGAUUCGUCACACUAUCAUUAACUGAAUCCAUAGGUUAAUGAGGCGAACCGGGGGAACUGAAACAUCUAAGUACCCCGAGGAAAAGAAAUCAACCGAGAUUCCCCCAGUAGCGGCGAGCGAACGGGGAGGAGCCCAGAGCCUGAAUCAGCAUGUGUGUUAGUGGAAGCGUCUGGAAAGGCGCGCGAUACAGGGUGACAGCCCCGUACACAAAAGCGCAUGUGCUGUGAGCUCGAUGAGUAGGGCGGGACACGUGGUAUCCUGUCUGAAUAUGGGGGGACCAUCCUCCAAGGCUAAAUACUCCUGACUGACCGAUAGUGAACCAGUACCGUGAGGGAAAGGCGAAAAGAACCCCGGCGAGGGGAGUGAAAAAGAACCUGAAACCGUGUACGUACAAGCAGUGGGAGCCCCACCACCAAAGCGUUUCGCUUUGUGUGGUGCACAAAGAAGCGUAACGACAGCACUGAAUGACGGUUAACGGAGCGCAAGCGACGUUCAACAUACAAAGUCAAGCAGUGGAGCGCUUUGGGGUGGGGUGACUGCGUACCUUUUGUAUAAUGGGUCAGCGACUUAUAUUCUGUAGCAAGGUUAACCGAAUAGGGGAGCCGGAGGGAAACCGAGUCUUAAU
rnacentral:rRNA from 1 species